AGCGAACGCUGGCGGCAGGCCUAACACAUGCAAGUCGAACGGACCCUUCGGGGUUAGCGGCGGACGGGUGAGUAACACGUGGGAACGUGCCUUUAGGUUCGGAAUAGCUCCUGGAAACGGGUGGUAAUGCCGAAUGUGCCCUUCGGGGGAAAGAUUUAUCGCCUUUAGAGCGGCCCGCGUCUGAUUAGCUUGUUGGUGGGGUAAUGGCCCACCAAGGCUACGAUCAGUAGCUGGUCUGAGAGGAUGACCAGCCACAUUGGGACUGAGACACGGCCCAAACUCCUACGGGAGGCAGCAGUGGGGAAUCUUGCGCAAUGGGCGAAAGCCUGACGCAGCCAUGCCGCGUGAAUGAUGAAGGUCUUAGGAUUGUAAAAUACUUUCACCGGUGAAGAUAAUGACUGUAGCCGGAGAAGAAGCCCCGGCUAACUUCGUGCCAGCAGCCGCGGUAAUACGAAGGGGGCUAGCGUUGCUCGGAAUUACUGGGCGUAAGGGAGCGUAGGCGGACAUUU
rnacentral:rRNA from 1 species